rnacentral:rRNA from 1 species
GACGAACGCUGGCGGCGUGCCUAAUACAUGCAAGUAGAACGCUGAAGGAGGAGCUUGCUUCUCCGGAUGAGUUGCGAACGGGUGAGUAACACGUAGGUAACCUGCCUGGUAGCGGGGGAUAACUAUUGGAAACGAUAGCUAAUACCGCAUAAGAGUAGAUGUCGCAUGACAUUUGCUUAAAAGGUGCAACUGCACCACUACCGGAUGGACCUGCGUUGUAUUAGCUAGUUGGUGAGGUAACGGCUCACCAAGGCAACGAUACAUAGCCGACCUGAGAGGGGGACGCGCCACACGGGGAUUGAAACCGGGCCCACACCCCAAGGGGAGGCAGCAGGAGGGACUUUUCGGAAAUGGAGGGAAGUCUGACCGAGCAACGCCGGGGGAGUGAAGAAGGUUUUCGGCUUGUAAAGCUCUUUUUAAAGAGAAGAACGGUGGGGGGAGGGGAAAGUGCACCCUGUGGGGGUUUUUUACCAAAAAGGGGCGGCUAAUCGCGU